AACGCCUGAGCUAAAGCUCAUGCAUAAGAAACAGUAAUCAAUAAAUUGAUAACUGUUUCUAAAAUUUCUACUUGUUUUUUAGAAUUUAAAAUGGGAAAAUAUAAUAGUCUAUGUAUAGGCAUUUUUAAAGGAGGUGAAUC
rnacentral:snRNA from 1 species